CCCUAACAAUCCAUUGGCAUCUUUGUUUCCUCAGUGAUGUCCCCUUCUGGAACCUUGCCACACUGUGUCUCUGGACCAACUGACUAUCACCACCCUCAAGAAAAAUGGAAGCAGUAAUACGGCUCAUGCUAAGGAAGAAAAGGUUCAGAACAAAAGUAUGCAGAACAAAAGAACACGGUGGAAACACAAGGGUCACCCAGGACACUCCUCUGGUUUGUCUCUGACAUCGCAACCUGGAGACAAGUCAUUUCUCUAACGAGGCCAUGCAAACAUCAUGUGUUCCUCCGUGGAAAGAAGUGGGGAAGGCCAGGAGCAACAGGACACAGAGCAAACUUAAGUUACAAAGUCCUAACCAGAAGCAAGCAGAGAUGCUGGAGAUGUCCUGGAGAAAGAUAGAGCAUCAAGUUUGGAAAAGACCUCCAAGUGGGGAACCCAGUAGCACCAAAUCUGGGAGUCUGAUGAACGUUUCCCCCUGGGAUUGCUGUUGAACAAACACAAUUACCAACAGCUGAAGGAUAACUGCUCUGACUGUCAAGCUUCUCACUUCGGGUGAGGAAGGCAGAACAUAACCAC
rnacentral:lncRNA from 1 species